UAGAGUUUGAUCCUGGCUCAGAUUGAACGCUGGCGGCAGGCCUAACACAUGCAAGUCGAGCGGCAGCGACAACAAAGAUUCUUCGGAUGAUUUGUUGGGCGGCGAGCGGCGGACGGGUGAGUAAUGGCUGGGAACCUGCCCUGACGUGGGGGAUAACAGUUGGAAACGACUGAUAAUACCGCAUGAUGUCUUCGGACCAAAGAGGAGGACCUUCGGGCUUCUCGCGUCGGGAUGGGCCCAGUUGGGAUUAGCUAGUUGGUGAGGUAAUGGCUCACCAAGGCGACGAUCCCUAGCUGGUUUGAGAGGAUGAUCAGCCACACUGGAACUGAGACACGGUCCAGACUCCUACGGGAGGCAGCAGUGGGGAAUAUUGCACAAUGGGCGCAAGCCUGAUGCAGCCAUGCCGCGUGUGUGAAGAAGGCCUUCGGGUUGUAAAGCACUUUCAGCAGUGAGGAAGGGUAAUGAGUUAAUACCUCAUUAUCUUGACGUUAGCUGCAGAAGAAGCACCGGCUAACUCCGUGCCAGCAGCCGCGGUAAUACGGAGGGUGCGAGCGUUAAUCGGAAUUACUGGGCGUAAAGCGCAUGCAGGCGGUUUGUUAAGCAAGAUGUGAAAGCCCCGGGCUCAACCUGGGAACCGCAUUUUGAACUGGCAGGCUAGAGUCCUGUAGAGGGGGGUAGAAUUUCA
rnacentral:rRNA from 1 species